GUGGUCAUUUUGAUGUCCUUCUGGAACAGACAAGUGUGGCUUUCAGCCCACAACAAGGCACCAUGUUACUAAUUGGGCUGGUGGGGCUACGUGGGAUCGUCACUGUCACACUAGGAGGGGAUGGGGAGCACUCGGUGGGGGGCUCUGCCAGGGUCCUGGCACACAGGAUGAGCCCUGAGCAUCAAAACCUCACAUGUAGCAAAAACUCGUGGUCAAAGGAGUGCUUUUGGCUCCACAGAGGGGCAUUUUUCUCAAGUCAUUAUUUCUUCCCGUAGGAAAGAGAACGUGGGCAUUGCAUGUGACACCAUGUGAUGUGGAAGCAAGAGACAUCGAUGUUCCUUCAAACUCAUGGUCAGGCUUACCCCAGCCUGGGAGGGUGCCAGGGAAUGGUUUCCCUUGUGACUACCUGCUCAUGCUGCAGACAGGACAUUGCUCAGCCCCAUUUGGAUGUGCUUUUCAAGGAGCAGGUCUUCAAGCUGAGUUUUUCCAACCCCCUUCAGCUUCUGUCCCUGCCUCUUGCCUUCCUCCUGUGAAGACAUCAGAUGCUGGAGCUGCUCCAAUCCCUCCCUGCAGGGUUGUCCCUGGAGGAGAUUUCCACCUAGACUUGUCCUUCAGCACUGGAACGCUCUACAAAGGGAGCUCAGCACAGAGCAGGAGGAGUAACCAAGCCAGCAUGUUUUGAGAAUUGUGAUUGUGAAAAUGCAGCUUUACCAGGGCUGAAGGGGAGCACGUACAGCUCCAGCCCCUCUGGCCAUGCCUGGGGCCAAGCUGGCUGCCAGCUCUUCUUGCAGCAUAGUCACCCAAGGGAGUUUUGCACCACAGUGCUGUGAAGGAUGCUGUGUCGUGUGUGAAGGAGAGGGAGAUGACAGCUGCUUGCUUCGGGGCCAGAAGCAAAGCUGAGGCUGGUACGAGUUCAGACCUGACCGCGAUGUGCCGUAUGUGUGAAGAGGGAGAGUCAGCAGAGACAUUGGUGCCCUCCAAGUUGGCAAGACCAUUGACAAGGGAGCAGUUGCUCACUGGGAGCUGAGAGCAUGAAACAAGAAGAAGCUGCAGGUGGAGCACAACAUGACACCACCUCUGGCAGCAUCAGCAGCACU
rnacentral:lncRNA from 1 species